rnacentral:lncRNA from 1 species
UUUUCAACUGCAAUCUGUACUCCGGUCAUCUCUUGCCCGCGGCGGGUAAAACUGGACAGGCAGCAUGUCAGAGCAGCAGGAUGCCGGCGAGCUUCGCUUUGUCCUGGAACCACGAAACUGUCGACAGGACAGGCUUUCAGAGACGAGUAGCGUCUGCAGAGGAGAAACACUCUGCAUAUGCAUGCAUGCGUGCACGGGCGUCCGGCUCUGCCGGUGCCGGUGCUUUCUCGUGCAAGCC